CGGAGGAUCCAAGCGUUAUCCGGAAUCAUUGGGUUUAAAGGGUCCGUAGGCGGCCUUAUAAGUCAGUGGUGAAAGCCCAUCGCUUAACGAUGGAACGGCCAUUGAUACUGUAGGGCUUGAAUUUUGUGAAGUAACUAGAAUAUGUAGUGUAGCGGUGAAAUGCUUAGAUAUUACAUGGAAUACCAAUUGCGAAGGCAGGUUACUAACAACAAUUGACGCUGAUGGACGAAAGCGUGGGGAGCGAACAGGAUU
rnacentral:rRNA from 1 species